rnacentral:lncRNA from 1 species
AUAUUUCUUACUCUCUCGGGGCUGGAAGCUUCCUGACUGAAGAUCUCUCUGCACUUGGGGUUCUUUCUAGAACAUUUUCUAGUCCCCCAACACCCUUUAUGGCGUAUUUCUUUAAAAAAAUCACCUAAAUUCCAUAAAAUAUUUUUUUAAAUUCUAUACUUUCUCCUAGUGUCUUCUUGACACGUCCUCCAUAUUUUUUUAAAGAAAGUAUUUGGAAUAUUUUGAGGCAAUUUUUAAUAUUUAAGGAAUUUUUCUUUGGAAUCAUUUUUGGUUGACAUCUCUGUUUUUUGUGGAUCAGUUUUUUACUCUUCCACUCUCUUUUCUAUAUUUUGCCCAUCGGGGCUGCGGAUACCUGGUUUUAUUAUUUUUUCUUUGCCCAACGGGGCCGUGGAUACCUGCCUUUUAAUUCUUUUUUAUUCGCCCAUCGGGGCCGCGGAUACCUGCUUUUUAUUUUUUUUUCCUUAGCCCAUCGGGGUAUCGGAUACCUGCUGAUUCCCUUCCCCUCUGAACCCCCAACACUCUGGCCCAUCGGGGUGACGGAUAUCUGCUUUUUAAAAAUUUUCUUUUUUUGGCCCAUCGGGGCUUCGGAUACCUGCUUUUUUUUUUUUUAUUUUUCCUUGCCCAUCGGGGCCUCGGAUACCUGCUUUAAUUUUUGUUUUUCUGGCCCAUCGGGGCCGCGGAUACCUGCUUUGAUUUUUUUUUUUCAUCGCCCAUCGGUGCUUUUUAUGGAUGAAAAAAUGUUGGUUUUGUGGGUUGUUGCACUCUCUGGAAUAUCUACACUUUUUUUUGCUGCUGAUCAUUUGGUGGUGUGUGAGUGUACCUACCGCUUUGGCAGAGAAUGACUCUGCAGUUAAGCUAAGGGCGUGUUCAGAUUGUGGAGGAAAAGUGGCCGCCAUUUUAGACUUGCCGCAUAACUCGGCUUAGGGCUAGUCGUUUGUGCUAAGUUAAACUAGGGAGGCAAGAUGGAUGAUAGCAGGUCAGGCAGAGGAAGUCAUGUGCAUUGCAUGAGCUAAACCUAUCUGAAUGAAUUGAUUUGGGGCUUGUUAGGAGCUUUGCGUGAUUGUUGUAUCGGGAGGCAGUAAGAAUCAUCUUUUAUCAGUACAAGGGACUAGUUAAAAAUGGAAGGUUAGGAAAGACUAAGGUGCAGGGCUUAAAAUGGCGAUUUUGACAUUGCGGCAUUGCUCAGCAUGGCGGGCUGUGCUUUGUUAGGUUGUCCAAAAUGGCGGAUCCAGUUCUGUCGCAGUGUUCAAGUGGCGGGAAGGCCACAUCAUGAUGGGCGAGGCUUUGUUAAGUGGUUAGCAUGGUGGUGGACAUGUGCGGUCACACAGGAAAAGAUGGCGGCUGAAGGUCUUGCCGCAGUGUAAAACAUGGCGGGCCUCUUUGUCUUUGCUGUGUGCUUUUCGUGUUGGGUUUUGCCGCAGGGACAAUAUGGCAGGCGUUGUCAUAUGUAUAUCAUGGCUUUUGUCACGUGGACAUCAUGGCGGGCUUGCCGCAUUGUUAAAGAUGGCGGGUUUUGCCGCCUAGUGCCACGCAGAGCGGGAGAAAAGGUGGGAUGGACAGUGCUGGAUUGCUGCAUAACCCAACCAAUUAGAAAUGGGGGUGGAAUUGAUCACAGCCAAUUAGAGCAGAAGAUGGAAUUAGACUGAUGACACACUGUCCAGCUACUCAGCGAAGACCUGGGUGAAUUAGCAUGGCACUUCGCAGCUGUCUUUAGCCAGUCAGGAGAAAGAAGUGGAGGGGCCACGUGUAUGUCUCCCAGUGGGCGGUACACCAGGUGUUUUCAAGGUCUUUUCAAGGACAUUUAGCCUUUCCACCUCUGUCCCCUCUUAUUUGUCCCCUCCUGUCCAGUGCUGCCUCUUGCAGUGCUGGAUAUCUGGCUGUGUGGUCUGAACCUCCCUCCAUUCCUCUGUAUUGGUGCCUCACCUAAGGCUAAGUAUACCUCCCCCCCCACCCCCCAACCCCCCCAACUCCCCACCCCCACCCCCCACCCCCCACCUCCCCACCCCCCUACCCCCCUACCCCCCUACCCCCCUCUGGUCUGCCCUGCACUGCACUGUUGCCAUGGGCAGUGCUCCAGGCCUGCUUGGUGUGGACAUGGUGGUGAGCCGUGGCAAGGACCAGAAUGGAUCACAGAUGAUCGUUGGCCAACAGGUGGCAGAAGAGGAAUUCCUGCCUUCCUCAAGAGGAACACCUACCCCUUGGCUAAUGCUGGGGAUGUCAAAAGAUCGGCCCAGCUCAGGGAGCAGUUUGCCCUACUAGCUCCUCGGACAGCUGUAAAGAAGAGUCUCUGGCUCUUUAGAAUACUGAUCCCAUUGAAGAUACCACGCUGCAUGUGUCCUUAGUAGUCAUGUCUCCUUAGGCUCCUCUUGAUCUUCCUCAGAAGAAUAGGCUUGUUGUUUUACAGUGUUAGUGAUCCAUUCCCUUUGACGAUCCCUAGGUGGAGAUGGGGCAUGAGGAUCCUCCAGGGGAAAAGCUCACUACCACUGGGCAACAACCCUAGGUCAGGAGGUUCUGUCAAGAUACUUUCCUGGUCCCAGAUAGGAAGAUAAAGUCUCAAAAACAACCACCACACGUCAAGCUCUUCAUUGUUCCUAUCUGCCAAAUCAUUAUACUUCCUACAAGCAGUGCAGAGAGCUGAGUCUUCAGCAGGUCCAAGAAAUUUGAACACACUGAAGGAAGUCAGCCUUCCCACCUGAAGAUCAACAUGCCUGGCACUCUAGCACUUGAGGAUAGCUGAAUGAAUGUGUCUUACCCAUUUCCAUGUUUCUCUUGCUAAUUUCUUUCGUGUGUGCCUUUGCCUCAUUUUCUCUUUUUGUUCACAAGAGUGGUCUGUGUCUUGUCUUAGACAUAUCUCUCAUUUUUCAUUUUGUUGCUAUUUCUCUUUGCUCUCCUAGAUGUGGCUCUUCUUUCACGCUUUAUUUCAUGUCUCCUUUUUGGGUCACAUGCUGUGUGCUUUUUGUCCUUUUCUUGUUCUGUCUACCUCUCCUUUCUCUGCCUACCUCUCUUUUCUCUUUGUGAACUGUGAUUAUUUGUUACCCCUUCCCCUUCUCGUUCGUUUUAAAUUUCACCUUUUUUCUGAGUCUGGCCUCCUUUCUGCUGUUUCUACUUUUUAUCUCACAUUUCUCAUUUCUGCAUUUCCUUUCUGCCUCUCUUGGGCUAUUCUCUCUCUCCUCCCCUGCGUGCCUCAGCAUCUCUUGCUGUUUGUGAUUUUCUAUUUCAGUAUUAAUCUCUGUUGGCUUGUAUUUGUUCUCUGCUUCUUCCCUUUCUACUCACCUUUGAGUAUUUCAGCCUCUUCAUGAAUCUAUCUCCCUCUCUUUGAUUUCAUGUAAUCUCUCCUUAAAUAUUUCUUUGCAUAUGUGGGCAAGUGUACGUGUGUGUGUGUCAUGUGUGGCAGAGGGGCUUCCUAACCCCUGCCUGAUAGGUGCAGAACGUCGGCUAUCAGAGCAAGCAUUGUGGAGCGGUUCCUUAUGCCAGGCUGCCAUGUGAGAUGAUCCAAGACCAAAACAAGGCCCUAGACUGCAGUAAAACCCAGAACUCAAGUAGGGCAGAAGGUGGAAGGCUCAUAUGGAUAGAAGGCCCAAAGUAUAAGACAGAUGGUUUGAGACUUGAGACCCGAGGACUAAGAUGGAAAGCCCAUGUUCCAAGAUAGAUAGAAGCCUCAGGCCUGAAACCAACAAAAGCCUCAAGAGCCAAGAAAACAGAGGGUGGCCUGAAUUGGACCGAAGGCCUGAGUUGGAUGGAAGUCUCAAGGCUUGAGUUAGAAGUCUUAAGACCUGGGACAGGACACAUGGAAGGCCUAAGAACUGAGACUUGUGACACAAGGCCAACGACCUAAGAUUAGCCCAGGGUUGUAGCUGGAAGACCUACAACCCAAGGAUGGAAGGCCCCUGUCACAAAGCCUACCUAGAUGGAUAGAGGACCCAAGCGAAAAAGUUUCUGGCAUCACUACCACUACUGAUUAAACAAGAAUAAGAGAACAUUUUAUCAUCAUCUGCUUUAUUCACAUAAAUGAAGUUGUGAUGAAUAAAUCUGCUUUUAUGCAGACACAAGGAAUUAAGUGGCUUCGUCAUUGUCCUUCUACCUCAAAGAUAAUUUAUUCCAAAAGCUAAGAUAAAUGGAAGACUCUUGAACUUGUGAACUGAUGUGAAAUGCAGAAUCUCUUUUGAGUCUUUGCUGUUUGGAAGAUUGAAAAAUAUUGUUCAGCAUGGGUGACCACCAGAAAGUAAUCUUAAGCCAUCUAGAUGUCACAAUUGAAACAAACUGGGGAGUUGGUUGCUAUUGUAAAAUAAAAUAUACUGUUUUGAAAACUUUGU